rnacentral:lncRNA from 1 species
CAGGACCAUUGUGACAGGCACAUGGACCACUUCAACAGGGUCUUGCAGCUGGGGAGAGAGACUGGGCUCAACUUUGAAUACAGCAUGGGCAAGUGGGAGUUUAUAGCCAAAGAACAGGAGAACUUUCAGAAAGGCACCAUCGGUCUUGAGCUGGAAGCCCGCCUUUUAGGUUUUGAAGAGAGAAGAGGUGGAGGAGGAUGUGUGCUCCAUGAAGACGUGUUCACAGACUCUAACUUGCUAUGGAGUGGCCAGAGGGCUCGACGAAGAUGCCAACUGCCUUCAGAUGUCUCCAGCUCCUAUCACGGCUGUGUGAAGCUAUAGGCUGUGGUAAAGACCAACCAGGGGAGAACAAGCAAAGGCCAUUUAUUCAGAGGCUGCUGUAUCAGGGGAGUCAGCCACCCACACAUGUCUUAUGGAAAGCUGCUUCUGCCCCAACCCUGUUUUAGCUAGUCUUCAGUUUAAUCUGAUAUCCGGUACCACCUCCUACCCCAUUUCUACCCAUCUUAGGUUCAUUGGCUGGGACGCCUGUGACAAAAGACAGAUUAACAAGAGAAAGGUACACAAAUUUAUUUAAUAUGUGUUAUGUGACACAGGAGCCUUCAAAAGGAAAUGAAGUUCUGAAGAAACAGCUAAACCUGAAUGGUUUUUGUCGUAGAUUUGAGAAGAAUGAAGCAUUGUGGGAAAAUAUGACAAAGUAAAGAAAAAGAAUGAGAGAAAUGUAAUAAAUCGGGGAAUCUUAGAAAAGCCUGUUUGCUCAGAUUACUCUCUGUGUCCCUUCAAAGAGAUAAUACCCAAU